rnacentral:rRNA from 1 species
GUGUUGCUGGUCCCCAAACGGGGGCAUGUGCACGCUCUGUUUGUACAUCCAUUCACACCUGUGCACCCUAUGUAGUUCUGUGGUUUGGGGGACUCUGUCCUCUCGCCGUGGUUCUAUAUCUUUACACACACUCUGUAAUAAAGUCUCAUGGAAUGUAUGCAGCGUUUAACGCAAUACAAUACAACUUUCAGCAACGGAUCUCUUGGCUCUCGCAUCGAUGAAGAACGCAGCGAAAUGCGAUAAGUAAUGUGAAUUGCAGAAUUCAGUGAAUCAUCGAAUCUUUGAACGCACCUUGCGCCCUUUGGCUAUUCCGAAGGGCAUGCCUGUUUGAGUAUCAUGAACACCUCAACUCUCAUGGUUCGCCAUGAUGAGCUUGGACUUUGGGGGUCUUGCUGGCCUGCGGUCAGCUCCCUUCAAAUGAAUCAGCUUUCCAGUGUUUGGUGGCAUCACGGGUGUGAUAAAUAUCUACGCUUGUGGUUUCCUGCCAGGUAACCUUCAGUGAUGGAGGUUCGCUGGGGCUCAUAAAUGUCUCUCCUCAGCGAAGACAGCUUUGUGAACGUUUGAUCUCAAAUCAGGUAGGACUACCCGCUGAACUUAAGCAUAU